CCCUUAGAUGUUCUGGGCCGCACGCGCGCUACACUGAUGCAUUCAACGAGUCUAAAACCUGCUCUGAUAGGGGUGGGUAAUCUUUUGAAUGUGCAUCGUGAUUGGGAUAGAUGAUUGCAAUUUUUCAUCUUCAACGAGGAAUGCCUAGUAAACGCAAGUCAUCAGCUUGCAUUGAUUACGUCCCUGCCCUUUGUACACACCGCCCGUCGCUCCUACCGAUUGAGUGGUCCGGUGAGGCUUUGGGAUCUGAGCGGAAAGAGCGUUUCGCUGUUUCUGCCCGGAAAACUCAGUCGAACCUUAUCAUUUAGAGGAAGGAGAAGUCGUAACA
rnacentral:rRNA from 1 species